GAAAGAAAAGUAUAUCUGAAAAAAACACUUUAAAUAUAUAUAUAAAAAAUAAUUAAAAAAAUUAAAACAGGCAGAAAAAAACUAAAGAAAACUAAAAAAGAAGAAAAAGAAUAGUAUUUCUAAAAAAUAACUUGGAGUCUUGAUGGAGUCUAAAACUGUCCAGGCAUGAUGAGAAGUCUCUAGUGAGGGGCAGGUUGGUGUUGUCAAUGUGGAUAUUGAAGUAUAUAUAUACACCCUUAAAAAUGGCAGAAAACUGAAAAAAAAAACUAAAGAAAAAACCCUUCAAAGAGGCAGAAAACUGGAAAAAAAACUAACUAAAAACUAACUAAGUUUUUUCUAAAAAAAAAAAACACAAACAAAUAAAAAACAAAAACACAAAUCAACAAAUAUUUUUAAAAUUUUUUAAUUACAUUUAAAAUUUAAAACACCCUUAAAGCAGGCAGAAAACUGAAAAACAGAAAAAGAAAACUUAAACAUAAAAAACCCUUAAAAUAGGCAGGAAAUUAAAAAAAAAUAAAAAACUAAAAAAAAAAAAAGAAACAUAAUAGUAUUUCAUAAAAAAAAACUUAAAACAGGCAGAAAAAUAAAAAAGAACUAUAGGAAACAAAAAAAAAAAGAAAAGUAUUUCUGAAAAAAAAAACACCCUAAACCGGGUGUUUUGCACAGAAAAAAAACCCCUUUUUGGGUUUUUCCCUCCCAUGUGAGGGUUUUUUCCCCUCCUUGAGCUACCACCUUACCGUGGUGGAGGGGUUUGUGUGUCCCAAUGAUCCCAGGAGCUAUGUUGUCAGGGCUUUAUGCCUCUGAAAGGUUACCCAAGGCAAACAGGUCCUGGGGGAGGGACCAGACUAAGAGUAGCUCAUCCAGACAGAGGUGCCAGGCAAAAAAAAAGGAAAAAAAAAAAACUGAAGAAAAAAAAAAAAUAAAGAAAACAUCAUGUCAUGGCAUUGCUCGGGAGGUAUGGAGUGACAAUGGCAGACAUUCAGUGCAGACCUCUUCCGAGAGUUCGCCUCAGAGUGGGGUUUUGUUCACACUACCUCCAGCCCCAGAUAUCCGCAAUGCAAUGGGGAGGCUGAAAAAGCAGUAAGAACUGUGAAGGACCUCCUGAAAAAAUGCGCUGACCCAUACAUGGCCCUCAUGACAUAUCGGGCCACUCCGCUUGCUGAUGGGGAGAAAGCUACGUACCACAGUUCCAGUUCUCCCAUCUUGUCUGAACCCAAAAUGGCCAAA